UCGUAUGGCUCAGUGGUUGAAGUGUUAGGUUCCCAAGUUUAAUUUUUUAUACGCUUCAUACAAAAGUAUUUUUUUAAGUAAAAUAUUAAAAAUCGAGGCCAGUUGUGGUGCAGGAGCACAAGUGCAAAUGGUGUGGGUUCGAUCCCUACUCGAGGAA
rnacentral:tRNA from 1 species